rnacentral:misc_RNA from 1 species
GGGGCGCUGAUUUUGCUAAAUUUGUCAAUACUUUUUCGAAAACCGUUUUUGUGUCCUCUUCGCUCACAUCUACUCUCACUUGUAUCUUCUCAUCGUCUUCGGACUCAACAGCUAUCUUUGCAUUUUUAACGCGUAUCAGAGAUUCAUCGUCACCCAAAUCUGCCUCAAAACCUGAACUAGCAGCCGAUACUGGUUUUACCAGAGAUCUUAGGCAUCUUUGCGAGGAUAUACAGUGCUUCAAUAACCCCUGAUUUGUAACUGCUGCUGCUGGGUAAAUUGCCACAUUCUU